AGGAUGAACGCUAGCGGCAGGCCUAAUACAUGCAAGUCGAACGGUGUAGCAAUACAUAGUGGCGCACGGGUGCGUAACACGUAUGCAACCUACCUUAUACUUAGGGAUAGCCUUUGGAAACGGAGAUUAAUACCUGAUGGUAUAUUUAGCUGGCAUCGGUUAAAUAUUAAAGAUUUAUUGGUAUAAGAUGGGCAUGCGUCCAAUUAGUUAGUUGGUGGGGUAAUGGCUCACCAAGACGAUGAUUGGUAGGGGAACUGAGAGGUUAAUCCCCCACACUGGCACUGAGAUACGGGCCAGACUCCUACGGGAGGCAGCAGUAGGGAAUAUUGGGCAAUGGAGGCAACUCUGACCCAGCCAUGCCGCGUGCAGGAUGAAGGCGUUAUGCGUUGUAAACUGCUUUUAUAUAGGAAGAAAAAGACCUUGCGAGGUAAAUUGACGGUACUAUAUGAAUAAGCACCGGCUAACUCCGUGCCAGCAGCCGCGGUAAUACGGAGGGUGCAAGCGUUGUCCGGAUUUAUUGGGUUUAAAGGGUGCGUAGGCGGUUUAUUAAGUCAGUGGUGAAAGACGGUCGCUCAACGAUUGCAGUGCCAUUGAUACUGGUAGACUUGAGUGUGAUUGAGGUAGCUGGAAUGGAUAGUGUAGCGGUGAAAUGCAUAGAUAUUAUCCAGAACACCAAUUGCGAAGGCAGGUUACUAAGUCACAACUGACGCUGAUGCACGAAAGUGUGGGUAUCAAACAGGAUUAGAUACCCUGGUAGUCCACACUGUAAACGAUGAUAACUAACUGUUGGCUUUUGGGUCAGU
rnacentral:rRNA from 1 species